rnacentral:rRNA from 1 species
GGGCCCUACGGGGCGCAGCAGGCGCGAAACCUUUACACUGCACGAAGGUGCGAUAAGGGGACUCCGAGUGCGAGGGCAUACAGUCCUCGCUAUUGUGUACCGUAGGGUGGUACACGACCAAGAGCUGGGCAAGACCGGUGCCAGCCGCCGCGGUAAUACCGGCAGCUCGAGUGAUGGCCGAUUUUAUUGGGCCUAAAGCGUCCGUAGCU